UGUUCUGGUCACCCUAGAAGAGGAUGCUGCAUUCCUCCGAUACGGAUACCUGUCGAUGGACAAUGCUGCUAUAGUGAGAAAAGAAGUUGCAAAGCUAUGCAGUGAACUAAGGCCACAUGCACUUUCCUUGGUCAGUUCCUUCGGCUUACCUGACGCCUUCUUGAGCCCGAUAGCUUUCAAUUGGGUUGAGGCCAAUGCUUCGUCUUCUGAACAAAACUAGCUCGUCGUUCGUAGAUUACUAGUUGAUACACUUCCCUUGGUCAGUUCUUUUGGCUUACCUGACGCCUUCUUGAGCCCGAUAGCUUUCAAUUGGGUUGAGGCCAAUGCUUCGUCUUCUGAACAAAACUAGCUCGUCGUUCGUAGAUUACUAGUUACCACAAGAUACUACCUAGAUUAAAAAGACAUCACAACAUGGCUUGUUCCUGCA
rnacentral:lncRNA from 1 species